rnacentral:rRNA from 1 species
UACUUACGUGGAUUUACCGCUGAACUUAAGCAUAUCACUAAGCGGAGGAAAAGAAACUAACCAGGAUUCCCUUAGUAACGGCGAGUGAACAGGGAAGAGCCCAGCACCGAAGCCUGUGGUCAUUUGGCCCCUAGGCAAUGUGGUGUUCAGGUUAGCUCGCGAAGAUGCUGCUCCACCCUAAGUCCUAUAAUGAGUAAGGUUACUCGGACAUGGCCCAAUGAGGGUGAAAGGCCCGUGGGGGUGGAGAUUCAGAAUGGCCAGUAUCUUCCUGAGCAGACCUUGGAGUCGGGUUGUUUGUGAAUGCAGCCCAAAGCGGGUGGUAAACUCCAUCCAAGGCUAAAUACUAGCACGAGUCCGAUAGCGAACAAGUACCGUGAGGGAAAGUUGAAAAGUACUUUGAAGAGAGAGUAAACAGUGCGUGAAACCGUUCAGAGGUAAACAGGUGGAGUUGAACUGCAAGCUCUGAGGAUUCAGCUGGUGAGUAUGGCAUGAGCUUGGUCAUAUUGGUUGUGUGCUCGGGUCUGCUUAGCUGCAGGUCCCCGCUUCGGUGGGGAUGCGCGAAUCACUCAUCAGGUGUGUGCGCCCGGACAUCGCUCUUC